rnacentral:rRNA from 1 species
AUACAGGGCUACUUCUAGUCUUGUAAUUGGAAUGAGUACAACUUACAUCUCUUCACGAGGAUCAAUUGGAGGGCAAGUCUGGUGCCAGCAGCCGCGGUAAUUCCAGCUCCAAUAGCGUAUAUUAAAGUUGUUGCAGUUAAAAAGCUCGUAGUCGGAUUUCGGGUCGGGCCGAGCGGUCUGCCGAUGGGUAUGCACUGUUUGGCGCGGCCUUCUUUCCGGAGACCGCGGCUACUCUUAACUGAGCGGGCGUGGGAGACGGAUCGUUUACUUUGAAAAAAUCAGAGUGUUUCAAGCAGGCAUCUCGCUCUUGCAUGGAUUAGCAUGGGAUAAUGAAAUAGGACUUUGGUGCUAUUUUGUUGGUUUCGAACACCGAAGUAAUGAUUAACAGGGACAGUCAGGGGCACUCGUAUUCCGUCGAGAGAGGUGAAAUUCUCAGACCAACGGAAGACGAACCACUGCGAAAGCAUUUGCCAGGGAUGUUUUCACUGAUCAAGAACGAAAGUUAGGGGAUCGAAGACGAUCAGAUACCGUCGUAGUCUUAACCAUAAACCAUGCCGACUAGGGAUUGGAGGGUGUUCGUUUCGACCUCUUCAGCACCUUACGGGAAACUAAAGUCUUUGGGUUCCGGGGGGAGUAUGGUCGCAAGGCUGAAACUUAAAGGAAUUGACGGAAGGGCACCACCAGGAGUGGAGCCUGCGGCUUAAUUUGACUCAACACGGGGAAACUUACCAGGUCCAGACAUUGUUAGGAUUGACAGAUUGAGAGCUCUUUCUUGAUUCGAUGGGUGGUGGUGCAUGGCCGUUCUUAGUUGGUGGAGUGAUUUGUCUGGUUAAUUCCGUUAACGAACGAGACCGUAGCCUGCUAAAUAGUUCCGCGAACUUCUUGUUGGCGGUCGACUUCUUAGAGGGACAACUUGUGACCAACAAGUGGAAGUUUGCGGCAAUAACAGGUCUGUGAUGCCCUUAGAUGUUCUGGGCCGCACGCGCGCUACACUGAAGCACUCAACGAGUCCACCUCGACCGACAGGUCUGGGAAACCUUUUGAAAUUGCUUCGUGAUGGGGAUAGAUUAUUGCAA